UACGGGGGGGCAAGCGUUGUUCGGAAUUACUGGGCGUAAAGGGCGCGUAGGCGGCCUGUUAAGUCGAACGUGAAAUCCCCGGGCUCAACCCGGGAACUGCGUCCGAUACUGGCAGGCUUGAAUCCGGGAGAGGGAUGCGGAAUUCCAGGUGUAGCGGUGAAAUGCGUAGAUAUCUGGAGGAACACCGGUGGCGAAGGCGGCAUCCUGGACCGGCAUUGACGCUGAGGCGCGAAAGCCAGGGGAGCAAACGGG
rnacentral:rRNA from 1 species